GCCGGGCAUGGUGACGCACGCCUGUAAUCCCAGCUACUUGGGAGGCUGAGGCAGGAUAAUUGCUUGAACCUGGGAGGCGGAGUUUGCAGUGAGCUGAGAUUGUGCCACUGCACUCCUGCCUAGGCAAUGGAGCAAGACUCUGUCUCAG
rnacentral:SRP_RNA from 1 species